UCUCCAGGUGUCCUAUCCGAGGUGCAGCUGCAGGAGUCGGGCCCAGGACUGGUGAAGCCCUCGCAGACCCUCUCCCUCACCUGCACCGUCUCUGGUGACUCCAUCACAACCAGUAGUUACUACUGGCACUGGAUCCGCCAGCUCUCAGGGAAGGAGCUUGAGUGGAUGGGACUCAUCAGUUAUAGUGGAAGAACAGCUUAUAGCUCAUCCCUCAAGAGCCGCAUCUCCAUCACCAGAGACACGUCCACGAACCAGUUCUCCCUGCAGCUGAGCUCUGUGACCGACGAGGACACGGCCGUGUAUUUCUGUGCAAGACACACAGUGAUAGGAAGACAGCGUGAGCCCAGACACAAACCUCCCUGCAGGAUACAGGAGGGAUCUGGGCUGCAGGGGGCGCUCAAGGCCCACCCAGCUCCUGUGCCCCAUGGAGCAGGCCACACAGAGUGA